UACGAGGGGGGCGAGCGUUGUUCGGAAUUAUUGGGCGUAAAGGGUGCUUAGGCGGUUUGGUAAGUCUCGUGUGAAAUCUCCGGGCUCAACUCGGAGCCUGCACGAGAAACUGCCGGGCUUGAGUGUGGGAGAGGUGAGUGGAAUUCCUGGUGUAGCGGUGAAAUGCGUAGAUAUCAGGAGGAACACCUGUGGCGAAAGCGGCUCACUGGACCAUAACUGACGCCGAUGCACGAAAGCUAGGGGAGCAAACAGG
rnacentral:rRNA from 1 species